rnacentral:rRNA from 1 species
GAUGAACGCUGGCGGCGUGCCUAAUACAUGCAAGUCGAGCGAACAGAUGAGGAGCUUGCUCCUCUGACGUUAGCGGCGGACGGGUGAGUAACACGUGGAUAACCUACCUAUAAGACUGGGAUAACUUCGGGAAACCGGAGCUAAUACCGGAUAAUAUAUUGAACCGCAUGGUUCAAUAGUGAAAGACGGUUUUGCUGUCACUUAUAGAUGGAUCCGCGCCGCAUUAGCUAGUUGGUAGGUAACGGCUUACCAAGGCAACGAUGCGUAGCCGACCUGGGAGGGUGAUCGGCCACACUGGAACUGAGACACGGUCCAGACUCCUACGGGAGGCAGCAGUAGGGAAUCUUCCGCAAUGGGCGAAAGCCUGACGGAGCAACGCCGCGUGAGUGAUGAAGGUCUUCGGAUCGUAAAACUCUGUUAUUAGGGAAGAACAAAUGUGUAAGUAACUAUGCACGUCUUGACGGUACCUAAUCAGAAAGCCACGGCUAACUACGUG